rnacentral:rRNA from 1 species
UACGUAGGGUGCGAGCGUUGUCCGGAAUUAUUGGGCGUAAAAGGGGCUCGUAGGCGGUCUGUUGCGUCGGGAGUGAAAACUCAGGGCUUAACCCUGAGCCUGCUUCCGAUACGGGCAGACUAGAGGUAUGCAGGGGAGAACGGAAUUCCUGUGUAGCGGUGAAAUGCGCAGAUAUCAGGAGGAACACCCGUAGCGAAGGCGGCACUCUGGGCCGAUACUGACACUGAGGAGCGAAAGCGUGGGGAGCGAACAGG